rnacentral:rRNA from 1 species
GACGAACGCUGGCGGCGUGCUUAACACAUGCAAGUCGAACGGAAAGGCUUCAGCUUGCUGGCGUACUCGAGAGGCGAACGGGCGUGUAACACGUGGGUAAUCUGCUCUGCACUCUGGGAUAAGCAUGGGAAACUGGGUCUAAUACUGGAUAUGACCUUUCUCCUUAUGGGGUUUGGUGGCAAGUUUUUCGGUGUGGGAUGAGCCCGCGGCCUAUCAGCUUGUUGGUGGGGUGAUGGCCUACCAAGGCGACGACGGGUAGCCGGCCUGAGAGGGUGAGCGGCCACAUUGGGACUGAGAUACGGCCCAGACUCCUACGGGAGGCAGCAGUGGGGAAUAUUGCACAAUGGGCGGAAGCCUGAUGCAGCGACGCCGCGUGAGGGAUGACGGCCUUCGGGUUGUAAACCUCUUUCAGCAGGGACGAAGCGUAAGUGACGGUACCUGCAGAAGAAGCACCGGCUAACUACGUGCCAGCCGCCGCCGUAA